UGGGGAAUAUUGGACAAUGGGCGAAAGCCUGAUCCAGCCAUGCCGCGUGUGUGAAGACGUCCUUCGGAUUGUAACGCACUUUAAGUUGGGAGGAAGGGCAGUAAGCGAAUACCUUGCUGUUUUGACGUUACCGACAGAAUAAGCACCGGCUAACUCUGUGCCAGCAGCCGCGGUAAUACAGAGGGUGCAAGCGUUAAUCGGAAUUACUGGGCGUAAAGCGCGCGUAGGUGGUUCGUUAAGUUGAAUGUGAAAGCCCCGGGCUCAACCUGGGAACUGCAUCCAAAACUGGCGAGCUGGAGUAGGGCAGAGGGUGGUGGAAUUUCCUGUGUAGCGGUGAAAUGCGUAGAUAUAGGAAGGAACACCAGUGGCGAAGGCGACCACCUGGGCUCAUACUGACACUGAGGUGCGAAAGAGUGGGGAGCAAACAGG
rnacentral:rRNA from 1 species